rnacentral:lncRNA from 1 species
GCCGAAGGAAUUUGUAAGACAAGACUUUCUUUCCAAUGUGACUUCUGCAUAUUCCUUCAUGGACCUCCUUCAAGACGUAGUCCCCCCAAUGGUUGCAAGCAUUUCAGAAGAGAAAGAGAGAAGGAUCUCUUAUAUAACUUUCCUUCAUAUAGGACACAUCGAGACACUUGAUAUUUGAUCUUGCGUGCCUCCUUCCGAUCAGUUGGCAAAAAUCCAUCUUUCACAUAGCGGA